rnacentral:snRNA from 1 species
AGAUGUGAGGGCGAUCUGGCUGCAACAUCUGUUACCCCACUGGUCUUCAGGGUUGAUUCAGAUGAUCUGACUGGCUAGGCCAUUGUCCCCUUCUCCCCUCACCAUUCCAUGUGCGUCCCUCCAGAAGCUGUGCAUUUGGUCAAAGAGGACCUUCCCAGAAAACAGACUGACCCAUUAUCAGCCAAGGUUAUAUAAGUAGCUACACUCGCCUGCUAGAAUUUCCAAACACACUCUCAAAGUCCAUUUGUAGAAGGUAGGGUACUCAAGUUUCCAAAUGAAACACAAACAGGUGCAUUCAUAGGAAGGCUGAUCUAUUUU